rnacentral:rRNA from 1 species
GACGAACGCUGGCGGCGUGCUUAACACAUGCAAGUCGAACGAAGUGGCGAACGGGUGAGUAACGCGUAAUCAACCUGCCCUUCAGAGGGGGACAACAGUUGGAAACGACUGCUAAUCCCGCAUACUGAAGGAGGGGAUUGCGUCUGAUUAGCUAGUUGGAGGGGUAACGGCCAAACAAGGCGAGGAGCAGUAGCCUGGCUGAGAGGGUGAACGGCCACAAUGGGACUGAGACACGGCCCAGACUCCUACGGGAGGCAGCAGUGGGGAAUCUUCCGCAAUGGACGAAAGUCUGACGGAGCAACGCCGCGUGAGUGAUGACGGCCUUCGGGUUGUAAAGCUCUGUUAAUCGGGACGCGGUACCGGAAGAGAAAGCCACGGCUAACUACGUGCCAGCAGCCGCGGUAAUAC